GACGAACGCUGGCGGCGUGCUUAACACAUGCAAGUCGAACGGAAAGGCCCUGCUUUUGUGGGGUGCUCGAGUGGCGAACGGGUGAGUAACACGUGAGUAACCUGCCCUUGACUUUGGUAUAACUUCAGGAAACUGGGGCUAAUACCGGAUAGGAGCUCCUGCUGCAUGGUGGGGGUUGGAAAGUUUCGGCGGUUGGGGAUGGACUCGCGGCUUAUCAGCUUGUUGGUGGGGUAGUGGCUUACCAAGGCUUUGACGGGUAGCCGGCCUGAGAGGGUGACCGGCCACAUUGGGACUGAGAUACGGCCCAGACUCCUACGGGAGGCAGCAGUGGGGAAUAUUGCACAAUGGGCGGAAGCCUGAUGCAGCAACGACGCGUGCGGGAUGACGGCCUUCGGGUUGUAAACCGCUUUCGCCUGUGACGAAGCGUGAGUGACGGUAAUGGGUAAAGAAGCACCGGCUAACUACGUG
rnacentral:rRNA from 1 species